GCCGCCACCCGGGGUUCCGGUGGCGUUAGGCGGCAGCAGUGGCGCUUCCCGCCGCCCGAGCUUCGGAAACUUCCCGGCCGCGACGCAGGGAACCGGCGCGGAGAACCGAGCAGAGCGGAGGGGUAGGGGGAGAUGGGGGACCGGGGGCCAGGUCACCUCUGAGAGGACUCGCUGAGGCCCAGCACCUCGGCGCCUCCUCUGUUCCCCUGGCCCACCGAGAUCUAGGCCUCGAACAGCACUCCUCACACGCACACCCCCAACCAGAGUCGGAAGCUCGAACUUGGGGAGCGUUCGCGAGAAGGCCGAGAGAGGAGCAGAAAGGGGCGCCCGUGGCCCGGCCUGUAGGGAGCCGAUCGCCCAUGGAGGGUCUGGGCCGCUCGUGCCUGUGGCUGCGCCGGGAGCUGUCGCCCCCGCGGCCG
rnacentral:sRNA from 1 species